rnacentral:rRNA from 1 species
GCAGCUAACGCGUGAAGUAGACCGCCUGGGGAGUACGGUCGCAAGAUUAAAACUCAAAUGAAUUGACGGGGGCCCGCACAAGCGGUGGAUUAUGUGGAUUAAUUCGAUGCAACGCGAAAAACCUUACCUGGCCUUGACAUGCCACUAACGAAGCAGAGAUGCAUUAGGUGCUCGAAAGAGAAAGUGGACACAGGUGCUGCAUGGCUGUCGCCAGCUCGUGUCGUGAGAUGUUGGGUUAAGUCCCGCAACGAGCGCAACCCUUGCCAUUAAUUGCCAUCAUUUAGUUGGGCACUUUAAUGGGACUGCCGGUGACAAACCGGAGGAAGGUGGGGAUGACGUCAAGUCCUCAUGGCCCUUAUGGCCAGGGCUUCACACGUAAUACAAUGGUCGGUACAGAGGGUUGCCAACCCGCGAGGGGGAGCCAAUCCCAGAAAGCCGAUCGUAGUCCGGAUUGCAGGCUGCAACUCGCCUGCAUGAAGUCGGAAUCGCUAGUAAUCGCGGAUCAGCAUGUCGCGGUGAAUACGUUCCCGGGCCUUGUACACACCGCCCGUCACACCAUGGGAGUGGGUUUUACCAGAAGUAGGUAGUCUAACCGCAAGGGGGACGCUUACCACGGUAGUAUUCAUGACUGGGGUGAAGUCGUAACAAGGUAGCCGUAUCGGAAGGUGCGGCUGGAUCACCUCCUU